UUAAAGUGAAACCUACAUUUUGGCAGCAUAAAGAGAGAAGCGAGUGGGAGAAUGUUAAUAUGUAAAAUGAUGCUGUACACCAACAGUUGUAUACAAAGCACACAAAUACAUGCGUACAUACCGGGUGUGUUUUCACAAGUGAACUAAUCCAUUGUUAAAUGUUUUCUUACUCGAUCCUCAUACACCUCUUUGGUCUAGGAGUGUGUUGUAGUUAUUUGUACCAGGUAAGUUAUGAACAAG